AGUGCUAAUGUAAAGGCCUUGGAGAGUUCGUGAAAGGCACAGUCCACUCAGUCAUUGCAGAUAAUUUAGGAGCCCACGGGAUAGCAGGAUUCACUGAAAGCUUCUCUGGUGCCUACUUCUGCAGGUUUUGUACAGAUGUCAAGUCCCAUCCAUCUGAGAGUUGUCUUUGGCACAGAUGACGCCAGGAAGCUUACCCUCAUAUCAGGGAUACCAGCAUCUGUGGAUCAGCUUGUUCUUGAGAUAAAGACUGUUUUUGGACUUGAACAGCAGUUCAGGCUUCAGUAUAAAGAUGCAGACUUUGGCAAUGAAUUUGUCAAUCUCAAUUCAACUAGUGACAUAAGAGACAAGGAUACUCUGAAAGUGGUAUUUUUUGCAUGUGAAGAAACUAGCUCCAGCAUUCCAGGGACUCCACCUUGCACCCCAGUGGCUUCUUCCACUACAUCCCACAGCUCUGUGAACCCCCUCAGCUCUCCAUCCUCGGACAGGGACGGAUUUUCUUCUGACCACUCGUUUGGCAGCGCAGACACCGUCAUUUUGGAUCCAGCUCCAGAAUCAAGAACCUCUUCUUGGCCUCCACUCUUCAUUGUUCCCUGUUUUUCCUAUUUUGCUGAAAUACAACUCCAAAGAGCAAAUGCAGAAUUCAGAGCAAAUGGCACUCUUCUUACUCCUCCCCCAAAACUAUGAAUGGAUAUCCUGGAAGGUAUGGCGGAACAGAUCUUUAAAUACACAGCAUACCUGAGUGUUUCCCAAAUUGAAGAGGCUGCUGAGGUCUUAGUGCAUACACAUCCUUGUUUGAGGGAAAGAGGAACUCUUGCUGGCCAUGAAGGUUGGAAACAGUAUUUAAAGACAAAAGUUGCCAAUUUUCGCACAAAACUGAGCAAAAUUGGACACCCUGAAGUCAGUGUAAACUCCCUCAAGAACAAGCGCAAAGGUCAAGAAAAGGCGGCCGCAAAUAUCAAAAAACCAAGAAAAGCAGAGGUUAAUUUUCUCCCAUCAUUCCCUAGUGGUGAAACAGGAGAGAGUCUUGAGAAUGAAAGAGUGGCUCUCUUGUCAGAGGUG